ensembl:lncRNA
UCGCGCUCUCUCUCGCGCUCGCUCGCUCGCUCCAGUAUGUAAAUGUGUAAUAGAAGCCAAAUAUGGAGCAGUUGGCUGCCGCCGCCGCAGCUCAAGGAUCCGACUUCAUGGGGGGGGGGGGGGAGGCACCCUCUGGCAGGCGGCCCGGCGAGCCGCACAGAGCACGGCGAGCGCACGGCGCGGCUGCCGGCCCGCGCCCUUAACCCUUCUAUGCACCCGGGCUGGGGCAGCGCUCGCUCCAGGGGAGGCCGGGUGUCUCUCCGCAACUGCGACUCCAGAUCCCGGACACCGACCGGAGGGAACUGUGCCUUCCAGGUUUGAGAAAGGGGCGGGGAAGUUGGGGCGAUGAGGUCAUUGGAGUGGUGACCGAUCGGUGCUCGCGCGCCUCCCCGGCUCCCUGCAACCUAGUUGGAGGGGGACAGGGUGAGUGCAGGGUGCAACUCAGGCAACCUGGGAGACUCAGAGCAACGGGUGUCAGGCUUUGACUCCCACCUGGUAAAAUACCCAAGGGGGCGGGGAAGUCGGCUGAUUCUAAUUACGAAGCACCCAGGGUGCCCCUGGUGAGCAUCUAAGAGGACUCUUUGUAUCCCCGCGGUUAACUAGCCAGCCCGCCAGUCCUGAGCCACCCGAUGCUAGGCCGGUGCCUUCUGCCUUGGCUUGCAACUCCGGAAAGUUCUCAGGCUUCCCCAGCUUGCACCGGCACCCUCACCUUUCCUGCCUGGACAAGCUGGCGACCUCCUGGGCCUCCUUUCAAAUUCUGCUGGUCUAGAAAUCUGCUAUGAGCAUCGAACGUCUCAGCUCUAGCCCUGGUAACCGAACUGCUGCUCACUCCUCACAGCUAACUGUGGACCAUUCAUCUCAUCUCAAGUGAGGUAACCCGUGCACUGAGCAGUGGAUGGUGGUUCUCGGGAAUCCAAGGCGAAAGAACUUCCCACCUUGGCCCGGUGGCUAAACGCAGACGCGGAGUCCCCACCCGCCCCCUCCGGCUACACCUCAGCCGGGUGUGAGCUCCGUGGGAAGGAAUCUUCUCCGGAGGAGUGCACCUUGCCAACAGGUGUGGCAUCCGAAGGAAGAGCCCGCACCUCCCCAGGAGGGUCGCUCGGUGUGGCGAUCUCUUUGCUGCAGAUAAUUCUUGAAGACCAGUAGGUGUCAGGCCAGCAUCUGACCUCUUUCAGGUGCUUAAAACUAAGAGUCUGGAAACUUGAUCCCUUGGUCUCGCUGGAAGCCACUACUAUUGACUGUAGCUGGAUUUGAGAGACCUUUUGGCUCAGUUUACGUAUGACCUAACAGUUAGUCACUAUCUGAAGCAGCGUACAGAGUCACCGAGAGAAACGUGUGAGCUUUUAAACUACUGUAUUGUGGAGCCCGCACUUCAGAAGUUAAAAAAGAAAUGCCGUGUGUGUGUGUGUGUGUGUGUGUGUGUGUGUGUGUGUGUGUGUGUGUGUGUGUAGGAUACAAAUCUAUUCUCAGGUUUUGAAACACCGUGCACACAUCCACGGUUGUUUAAAUAGAACUACAACUGUUCUCUUCCCCCUCCCCGCCCCCACCGCCCCUCUCCCCCGUAACUGUGUUGUUCACUUAAAGAUCCAUGAUUGUUAGACUUCAUAUGCUAAAGUGACAUUACUGGUCUCCUUACAGCCUCUAGUGGACGGUUAAAGUGAGUUUCCUGUGGAGGCUCUGUCUAGUUUUGUUUUCCCUUCUGCACUUUCUCCAGGUGAAGGUUAAUAGUUCAGAGCUUAACUGACUGCUAUCUUUCACUCCCUCUUGGUAAAGCUGUCUUUGAAACUGAACAGAAGCUUGUUGGCUGCGUGUGGAAGAGAGGCGUCUGCUUUGUGCUACAGGGUUUGGUCCAGAUGCUCAUGGCUGGCCCACCAGUACCUCUCAGAAACGCACCCUGAAAUGCCAUGACACUGAGAGCCACAGACUACACUGGUUGCGAUGGCUGAGAGGUAAGAGGGCAGUUGUAUAACUCUUGAGCAAGGUUAGUCUUGCAAGCUUCUGUUAGCCUUUCACCUUUGUAAACCAGACCAGAUCUGAAGACAAAAUAUGCCUCAGCUCAGUGCCCCGCCUACCAAAGACCAUCAAAGUUGGAGUGGUAAACAUUUAUUUAUUUUGGUCUCUUUAGAAUUGUUAAAAAGUCUUGCCUCCCACGGUAGGGAAGUGCGUGCCAAGUUUCUGCUUGGAACAAUUUGUUAUGGCUAUGCGAUAAUCCUGGAAAGUUUGAAUUUUUAAUGGAAAUCCUGACGCCAGACCGUGAACCAUGCGCUCCUACAGAAAGGGUGUUAUCCUAUAUGUCCUUUUAAAAGCUGAGCAAGCUGGGGUGGUUACGGAACAAAUACACUUGGCCAAGAUUGGGCUUCUCAAUAAGCCUGGGGAGAAAUGAACCAGAAUGAUAAAGCAACGUAGAAACAAAAGUGAAAGCCGUCCACACAAUAGACUCUGGGGUCAGUGGGCCACACCCUAGCUGAAGUCCCGAGGCUCUGUGUACAGCAUACAGACACAGACCUGCUUCAGGACCACGGGCUCGGUCUACCCAACUGCAGCAGCACAGGCUUCCUGGUGGUGAAACGACAUCACCAAUGCUCAAGAAUGGAGUGACACAGAGUUGAAGGUCAAGUCACGUGACAAAGGAGCGCACAUUUGGGUUUUGCCAUCUUGCUCGAUCUGAAUCUAAGCUCUUCUUCUUGGUGCUCAGUCUGGAAGGAAAACAAAAGGCCGUCAUACAAAAGCACCGGAAGAGGAGAAAAGGAACAGAAGGCGAUGGUGGUCGGACGUGAUGCCUAUGGAAUCGGACAGGUAAAACUGGGCAGAGAACAAAGGUGUGUGGGCCUGGGCGGUGAGAAUUAGGAGUGAGGCUCAGAACCCCGCUGCUUUAGAAAAUAACCAGAAUCCGCAUCG